UAGUAAAACGUGUAAGACUGCC
rnacentral:siRNA from 1 species